rnacentral:rRNA from 1 species
UACGGGGGGGGGCAAGCGUUGUUCGGAAUUACUGGGCGUAAAGGGCGCGUAGGCGGCCUUCUAAGUCAGACGUGAAAUCCCUCGGCUCAACCGAGGAACUGCGUCUGAUACUGGAAGGCUUGAAUCCGGGAGAGGGAUGUGGAAUUCCAGGUGUAGCGGUGAAGUGCGUAGAUAUCUGGAGGAACACCGGUGGCGAAGGCGGCAUCCUGGACCGGUAUUGACGCUGAGGCGCGAAAGCUAGGGGAGCAAACGGG